rnacentral:rRNA from 1 species
GACGAACGCUGGCGGCGUGCCUAACACAUGCAAGUCGAACGGGGCAAUUUCUUCGGAGAUUGCUUAGUGGCGAACGGGUGAGUAACGCGUGAGAAACCUGCCUUUCAGUGGGGGGCAACAGUUGGAAACGACUGCUAAUACCGCAUAAUGUUAUUUGGGGGCAUCCCCGAAUAACCAAAGCUUUAUGUGCUGAAAGAUGGUCUCGCGUCUGAUUAGCUAGUUGGUGAGGUAACGGCUCACCAAGGCGACGAUCAGUAGCCGGUCUGAGAGGAUGAACGGCCACAUUGGGACGGGGAUACGGCCCAGACUCCUACGGGAGGCAGCAGUGGGGAAUAUUGGGCAAUGGGGGAAACCCUGACCCAGCAACGCCGCGUGAAGGAAGAAGGCCUUCGGGUUGUAAACUUCUUUUACCAGGGACGAAGAACGUGACGGUACCUGGAGAAAAAGCAACGGCUAACUACGUGCCAGCCGCCGCGGUAACAC